CCCAGAAACACCUGGAAUAGACAUACGGGCUACUAUUCUGGUGAUGCGACAGACAAAAGAGAAGCGGCUGUUAAAACAGGUUGGAUGACAUUGGUUGACAGUUAUUGGUAUAAUUUAAAAAAAAAAACAAAGUUAUUGGUAUAAUAAAUAUUGCGCUUUAGCGCAAAAACACCUCAGUUAUACCAAUAAAAAGUAAAAGCUUUCAUCCGCGCCUCAGAACAUUUCUUUUGCAGUUAAGUUGCAAUCCUGUCAAUCUCAACAUAAUGCAAAUGGAUGUACCAACAAGUCAAGGCACUGAAGAGAGUAUUUAACAGUCUUAUGGCGAUGUAAAUAGAGGAACGAAUCUCCAAGGAAAGGAAUUUGUUAACAUUAUACAAGAAUAUUAAUAAAAUUCACCAUAAGGAAAGAGUUCAAUGGACUAAAUACAGAACCAACAAUAUCUUGAAUAAUAACAGAAAUGACGAAUCAAAUAAGAAAUACGAAAACGUUGGAUGAAAAAUGGGGCAAUAUUAAAACAGCUCUAAAAAAUACAUCGAGAACUGCAUACCAAAGAAAACAAGGCAGAAGAAAAAUUAUCGAAAUAGAAAAAUGAAAAAAUACAGGAAAUACAUCACACGAUUAAAAGAGAAAUAAAGAAAGCGAAUGAAACAUGGGUUAACAACAAAUGUGACGGAGUCAAAGAGCUCGAAAGAAAACACGAAACCAACUUGAGCAUCCCAUCACAAGCCAAUAACAGAUAUUAGGGCGCAACUUAGAAAGUGGAAGAAAUACGUGCUAGAAAUGCCUACAGAAGACCAACGAGACGACAAUCCAACAACCAAGGUAAGCAUCAAAAGCUUAUACUUAGAUUACAACGGAAAAAAUUAUUCGUACAGAAAAACAGCUGAAGAACAGAACAACAAACGGGGAAGAUCAUUUACCAGCGAAGAUUAAUCAACCAUUUGGCAAUCAAUACAUU